UCCUGACCGCAGUGGAUCUCUUCUGUGUUUUUUGAAUCCCAUGUUGGACCGAGCCGCUACAAGCUUUGGGCCAUCAGAAGAUGCUGAUGAGAUCUGCAGCGACCGAACCAGAGGAGGAUCAUCUGAGCUGCUGACCUUCACAAAGAGUGAGAGCAUGUUCAACACUGUGGACGUCCAAAAGCAAAACUCCUGUGAGGAACCGGGACAUCCAGGAUGGUGAGGAGCUUCCCAGUCCCCACCUGAGGACGGCACAGAGAAAGACUGGAACAGAAAACACACGGAGGAAAGCAGGUUGAACAGCUAGCAGUGUUCUAGCAGUCGGAUCACAUUGGAACAGAAUCCAUCCACAC